CAAUACUUGAACUUCGAAUUGCAAAUAGAAUUCAUUUAAACAAAUUGCAAUCGAUAGAAUCAGAGAACAAACGUCAAUAUUUUUGAUUAAUGUUUUGAAAAUAAACAGUAUACAAUAGAUGAGAGUUAAGUUGCUAAUUAAUUUCAUCUACGGAGAUUAUGUUGGAAUUGUAAUCAGAAGAGUACAAACCAGAGAGAAUAAACAGGAAAAUGAACAGUGAAAUAUGGUAAAAUAACGUAAUAAUUCACAACUCUCGACAUUAUGAAGAGAACGAAGAAUGUAAAGGGUGAACGUUGAACUUUCCGAGCAUUUUAAAUUUAAAAAUCCAACUUCUCUGUAACAUGAAUGAACACUCCGAGGGACAAUAAUAAUUCGCUUAUUUAGAAGCUUGAAUUGUAAAACAACUGUGACGUAAAUUUGUUAUUUUCAAAAAAAGAAAAGGUACAUUCAGUCGAGCUGGCAUAGUUCUUCUUAAAAGGAACGAGACAUAAAGAAAACCAAGGAAGGUGAUAAAUUAUUCAUACAACAAAACAGUUGAAUAAAC